rnacentral:tRNA from 2 species
GCCCGGGUGGCGAAAUUGGUAGACGCAGGGGACUCAAAAUCCCCCACUGCAAAGUGUGUCGGUUCGAGUCCGACCCCGGGUACCA